CCCAGCAAUUACCGCAAACUAUUUAAGCCCAUCCUCCAUUUAAACAGCAGGUGGCAACAUCCUCCAGUGUAUGAGAGUCUGCCCGUGUUCGCCGAGGGGUUCUCCUGAUUCUCCUGGUUCUCCUCGGCUGAGGAAACACCAGGCUCUGCCUGCAGCCUUUGUGUUUCGUAGGAUCAGUUUGCCCUUGCUCUAAAGCAAAUUUGGAAAUGCAGUGUGCAAGUAUGUUGAAUUAGAGCCAUAAUCCCUGGCUGGAGAAGGCUGACUCUGAGCUCUCACCCUAGAGACCAGCCAUGCAGAGCAGUGCCAUGGCUGGGUCAGCACUGUGCAGAAGCUCUGGAUGGGACAUCCUGGCUGCAAGACCAACAUCAUUCCUGACCCAGGGCCCGUGCUGGAGCCCAGCAUCUGCCCAAGGCAGCACAUCGGCUUUGGACCACUGGAAUGUGCCUACAGACUUUUUCACAGAACCACUGUGUGCUGAACCAGACACCACCGUCACAAAGCAUGGUUUGGAUGCUUCUGUAAACCCUUCCAUGAAAAGAGAGGGGAAUCACAGAAUCAUAGGAUGGCCUGGAUUGAAAAUGACCACAAAGAUUAUCAAGUUUCAACCCCCUUCUAUGUGCAGGGUUGCCGACCACCAGACCAGGCUGCCCAGAGCCACAUCCAGCCUGGCCAUUGGGGUGUGCCUGCUCACCUCCAUCCCCAGGCAGGAGCAUGUCUGCACAUCCCAACCCAUGGACAGACCUUCUGAGGGAGAGUGUCCUGUGUGUAAUCCUAUGGCAAAGCAAGCCAGUAAGUGGUGUGAGAAGAGAAUUCAGCUGUUUCUCCAGAAGGUAUUACAGUCACCUUUGAUGAGCAGAGUCACUGGCACCUCUCUGUGCUAUUUGCUACUUCAGCAGAGCAGGAAAGCAGGGGGAUUCCUGAGGUGCUGCUUCAUUGCCUCUGGCCUCCUAGAGAGGAAAUAACCACAUGAUUAAAAAAAAAAAGAGCAAGUGUCAUGAUGCACCUUGGAUUGUGGUGGCAGCAGUGGCAGCAGCAAGAGUCCAUGUUGUGCUUCCAGCCCACGUUAGCCAGGACUCAAAUCUGUAACUGCUGUGCAUUCCCCAUCAUGGGCUGAGACUGGGAGCAUGGAGGAGAUUACCCAGGCCACCAGCAGUGCCCCAGGACUCACAGCAGCUGUGCUUCCCUCCCCAUCCCUGCCUGAUGGCCCUAAGGUGAACAGAGACCUGAUAUUCUUUCAAUAACCCUGUCAGCUUGGUGCCCUUGGUCAGAAGCAGAGUCAGCAGGUCAGCAGUGGAUGACAAACGAGCUGUUCAGGUGACAGAAGUGCUGCCUGGUGGCUGGCCAGAGCAUUGUUUAGCAUUUAUUUGUGGAAAGUUCAGCCCUGCAGGAGGUUUUGGAGAAGUGCUGCCACUGGUCCUGGAUUGGAGCCAGAGGCUGGUGGAAGGCAGAGGGGGCGAAUGGCACAGGGAAGGCCAGACCCAAAGAGCCUGGCUGCUGGCUCUGUCUGCAAAGGUUUUCUCUGAGCUCAAGUGAUUCUGAAGAACUAGACUGGCAAACAUCACAUGGGGGAGCAAAGACCCUUCUAAACCCGAAGUUAUGAGAUGGAAGCCUGUUCUACUGCAAGCCUGUGUUUCAAGAGCCCUUAUUUCAAAAAUUGUGCACUACCUGCCUGAGCAGUAUUAGGAGUGCAUCAGCCACUUGCAAGGAAGAUGCACCUAUGUCCCCACCAUUACUGCUCUUAUCCGCUGUAUUUGCUGAUCUUGUGUAUCUCUGCAGCAGCAGAGCUCAGAGGUGCUGCAGGACAGGAGAGGCACAUUUCAUAGAUGGAGAAGCACGCAGGAGGGCUGGUGAUGACAGGUUAGUAGUUCUUGUCUCCUGGCUCUCUGUACUGUGUUCUGCAUGAUGGGGCCCACUGCUGGCUGCUGUUCUGAAGCAAGAACAGCUGUUGCCUGUCAUAUGAGCAGGAUAGUGGGUCAGUGCACCAAUGCUUUUAAUUAAUGGAAUUGCCCGAGUUUCUUUGCUGACGUUGAAAUGUGUUCUUCACGUAGCUGUGCUCUCUGCUUUGAAAAGUGGUCACUGCUGCUGUUUUUGUAUGUCUUUUCCCAACCAGUUUCCAAUUUUCUGAGUGUCUGCUCCUCACCCGAUCCUGUGAUCUUCAUCACUGAUGAAGUAAGAGAGUGUUGAGGUUUGCUCAUUUGGGCAAGGAACUGGAGGUACCCUGCCAGGAUCGUGCUUUUUCAAAACAUUAAGCACUCUCUGCAACCUGGGCACCCCCAAAAAAGCAUCCUCUUAAGCCACUGAUCUCUUUUGGAAAUGAGGGCCAAGAUGUUGCUGGCAGCAGGCAGGGUGACCAGCACAAGCUCCCCUCCAGAUCCCCUGCAGUCUUUCUGCUUCUGCUUUCUCCUUGCUGCUCUCCAUCAGCAAUUGCAUGCAGGAGUGGAGGUGAAGGGGACUGUAUUUAACCCAAGCUACCUCCUCUCAUUGCUCAGAACAACUCUCCAUGACCACGAUCUGCUCUUGCUGUGCAGUGAAGGGCCUUUUUGCCUGCAUGUGGUUUCCCUGCAAGGUGGGAGCUGAGGUCAUGUAGGGCAGGAGGU